UGCAACUCGCCUGCAUGAAGCUGGAAUUGCUAGUAAUCGCGGAUCAGCAAGCGCGGUGAAUACGUUCCCGGGCCUUGUACACACCGCCCGUCACACCAUGAGAGUCGGGAACACCCGAAGUCCGUAGUCUAACCGCAAGGGGGCGCGGCCGAAGGUGGGUCCGGUAAUUGGGGUGAAGUCGUAACAAGGUACC
rnacentral:rRNA from 1 species